rnacentral:lncRNA from 1 species
GUGCUUUUUGUUCCUUUGCAUGGAAACACCUCCACCCCCAUCAUUUCAGGUGUAAAUUCUAUCUUUUCCUUUCAGGUCAAAUCAGAUGCUGUCUUAUUCACAAAGUCUUCCUGGCAUCUCUGUGCAAGUAUAACUGACCAAUGUCACUUCCCAAGUGUGGGUGGCAGAAGGAAAUAUUUUCCCUGUAAAUUCAACUUUAAUAACUCUGAGCUUUACCUCACAUAAAUGAAGCAUAUCCUUGCCACUGGAGAGCCCUUCCUCAAUGGAGCUCCAGGAGCCUUGGUAUGCUCUCUUGGUCCUAAUAGGCAGUGUAAUUAUUCUUCUCAUUAAGAAGGGAAUGAGAGAAAGAAAGAAGAAAGAAAAGGAAGGAAGGGAGAGAGAGAGAAGAGAGAGAGAGAGAGAGAGAGAGAGAGAGAGAGAGAGAGAGAGAGAGAGAGAGAGAGAAAGGAAAGAAAGAAAAAAAAAGAAGAGAGGAGAGGAAAGAAGGAAAGAGAAAGAGGAAUGGUGGGAGGGAGGGAAACCUGCUCCAGGGGUCCUUUCCUGUUACUCCAGUCACUCUCAUUACCACACUAUAGUUUUCAGGAAAUACCACAAGUCUACUUAUCCCCAGGCAAUGCUUUAUAUCCAAUACUUGAGCACUUUUGCCAUCUUGGCACGUUGCCAGCACCUCAGUCCCUGUCCUCCGAGGACAGCUUCUGUGUUUACUGGCAUUUGCAUCUGCCUUCAUCCUGCACCUCUCCUGAUCAUGUUACUUGGUUCCUCUGUCUACAGUAAUGCACCAGCAAAGUCUGUACAACCCACGGUACUGUGGGUGAUGCCAGAAUGGCUUGCUCUGGAGGGAUUUCCUUCUCUUCCCCCAUGUUGCAGUUGGAACCCUCCAUCCCAUGACAUCUGUCCUUUGAUGCCCAGUUUGCAUCCCCUUCCCAAGACAAAAGCUUCACAUCAUCCUCUGUCCAGGAAACUUGUGUCCCGAUGCAAACGAGCUCUAGAUUCUCUGGAAAGCAAAAAGGAGAGCGAGGAGAGGAAGUUUCUCCAAUUUCUUUACUUCCCACCUGCUGGUCUGUCUGAUUUCCUGUCCAGCUCUGUCUGGUAA